CCCUUAGAUGUUCUGGGCCGCACGCGCGCUACACUGAUGCAUUCAACAAGCCUAGCCUUGACCGAGAGGUCCGGGUAAUCUUUGAAACUGCAUCGUGAUGGGGCUAGAUUAUUGCAAUUAUUAAUCUUCAACGAGGAAUGCCUAGUAAGCGUGAUUCAUCAAAUCGCGUUGAUUACGUCCCUGCCCUUUGUACACACCGCCCGUCACUCCUACCGAUUGAAUGUGUUGGUGAGGAGCUCGGAUUGGCAGCAGUUGGUGGUUCGCCACCGGUUAUUGCUGAGAAGUCCUCCAAACCGCCCCAUUUAGAGGAAGGAGAAGUCGUAACA
rnacentral:rRNA from 1 species